UUUAACACUAGAACUACCGAUACUAUUUCUACCAAAACCAGUGAAAAUGACUGGUCUUUAAAAAAUACUAAUUAAUAAUAAAAUAUUUUUAUAUUUAUUGAUUUAUUACUUUCUUACAGAGGCAAUUCCAUGUUACGUAGUACAUUUUUGGUAUUAUUAAUCCAUCUAGGAUCAUGAUCCCUAAACGAGGGUUGGCACAUUUAUAAAAUUGUACAACCAGUCGUUUUAACUGAUGUGGUAUUCCUAGUGUUAGCAUCUAGAGAUCUAGCGAUCGAUCCGGAAUUUUCCUGAUAACUGAUAUCGUCGUAUCGAAUGAUACGCGGUAAAAAUUUUAAAAACGUGUGGCAAGUUGUACAAAACGAGGAAACUGGUUAAUUGGAGUUCGAUAAACAAAUUGCAGGACCCUUUUACACCUUGACAAGUACCCGUCAUUUUGGCUGGUAUUGGUAUAAGUAACCUUGAUACAAAAUUAUAUU